AUGGAAGGUCACAUUGUCUACCCCAGCAAAGUGACCACUUGGGUGCCUCCUUUCUCCGCUGGCCCCGCGGGCGCUCCUCCCUGGCUGCGGCGUUCCCGUCCCGCCUUCUGCUACAAGCCGGCGGCGCUGCUCACCGCCACACUCCUUCGCCAUCUGGCAUAUUAUAGCAUUUGAUUUACUGAAGACUGAUUACAAGAAUCGUAUGGACCAGUGUAGUACCCUGAAUCCUCUUGUACCUCCCGAGUACCUCAUCUGUGCUUUCUUCCCUGCCAUGUUUCCUUGUGCAGCAGAGUGGCUUACACUGGGUCUCAAUAGGCCCCUUUUUGGCAUAUCAUAUUUGGAGGUAUAUGAGCAGACCAGUGAUGAGCCGCCCAGGACUCUAUAACCCGACAACCAUCAUGAACGCAGAUACUCUAGCAUACUGUCAGAAAGAAGGAUGGUGCAAAUUAGCUUUUUACCUUCUAGCGUUUUUUAACUACCUAUUUGGCAUGAUCUAUGUUUUGGUGAGCCCUUAGAACAGCACAGAAGGCUCUGUCCAGGUAAGUGCAUGCAAAAAGCCACUAAAUGAAAGGAUUCUAUCCAGCAAAGUCCUGUUUCCAAGAGUAGCCUAUGGAAUCUGACCAGUUACUUUAACAAAUGACUCCUUGUUUUUUAAAUGUUUCCACAUUUUUUUGCUUGUGGAAAGACUGCUUACAUAUGUUAUACUUGGAUAAAGAAUUUAAAUGG